rnacentral:tRNA from 1 species
GGGCCUAUAGUUUAAUGGAUAAAACUACCGGCUUCGGACCGGUUGUUGGGGGUUCGAGUCCUCCUAGGCCCA